rnacentral:rRNA from 1 species
GGAUUCCCCUAGUAACUGCGAGUGAAGCGGGAAAAGCUCAAAUUUAAAAUCUGGUAGUCUUUGGCUGCCCGAGUUGUAAUCUAGAGAAGCAYUAUCCGCGCUGGACCGUGUACAAGUGUCCUGGAAUGGACCAUCAUAGAGGGUGAGAAUCCCGUCUUUGACACGGACUACCAGGGCUUUGUGAUGUGCUCUCAAAGAGUCGAGUUGUUUGGGAAUGCAGCUCUAAAUGGGUGGUAAAUUCCAUCUAAAGCUAAAUAUUGGCGAGAGACCGAUAGCGAACAAGUACCGUGAGGGAAAGAUGAAAAGAACUUUGGAAAGAGAGUUAAACAGUACGUGAAAUUGCUGAAAGGGAAACGCUUGAAGUCAGUCGCGUUGGCUGGGGAUCAACCUUGGCUUGGCUUACUUCCCAGUUGACGGGUCAGCAUCAGUUUUGACCGGUGGAUAAAGGUCAGGGGAAUGUGGCACCCUCGGGUGUGUUAUAGCCUCUGGUCA